rnacentral:lncRNA from 1 species
GAACUGUGGGGAGGUGGCCAGGCAAGGGUGGGAAGAGAGGGAGGCUGGGUGGGCCCUCCAGGAGGCUCAGAGAAGCCCAGACGCUAGUGUCCCUGAUCAGCGUGACAGCCCUACGACAGGCGAAGGGGCAGGAGCUGCUGCUCCCACACUGAGCACUCUCUCUGUGGCAGGCUCCUGAAUCCACCAUCCUCCCUAAAGUCCCCACGUGACAUGUGGGCUCACUGAGGUUCUGAAUGGAGUGGAGCUUACUCGGGGCCAUCCAGCCAGUCGGGCUGUGUGGGACAACAGGGGACAACCACGUCCUUGGACCCACAUUGACCUUUUCUCACUGUCCAUGGCCCCAGGAGGGAGAGAAGGCAGCCCUGAGCCACAGGGAAGGUGUAAGGGGCACAGCCUGGCUUCCUGGAGAGCCCAGCCUCAGGCCCUCUCCCCACGUUCUGUUUAGGAAAUUUCCCAGUGGCUCCAGCCUCGGGAUCCUGCAACCUGAACACCUACUGGCUUCUUGGGGUCAUCCACCUUCUGCACCGAGAGGUUCUCAAGAGGUAUAAUUCCCCGUGGCUCCUUGUCCUACAGGGAAAGGGGAAGGAAGGUCAGGGUCAGGAAGCGGAACCCUGAGGCCCAAGGCAGGGUGUGAACGUGUGGGGUUCCCCAAACUCAAAGAGGAGCGUGCUCAUCUUCCGAGACUGUCCAGUCAUAGGGGGACGGAAGUUAGAAGCAGCAUGUGAAGACCUCUGGCCGGAACUUAGGAGGCCCAGCUUUAAGCCUGGGCUCUGCCUAGGACCUUGGCCCGGCCCUCCUCUGUGUACCCGUUUUCCCCAUCUGUAAAAUGGGCAUGGAGGGGGACUGAAUGAUCUCAAAGGAUCCAAAGCUGUCUUGAGCAGCCAACCCUCCCGGUCUGGAUUGAAGAAGGUGUGAGUGAGGUC